rnacentral:lncRNA from 7 species
GAUAGCGCUGCCCCCGUCGUCCUCUCCAUUUCCUUCUGUCUGCUUGCCCUCAAACCCUAGCCCGUACCGGCGUCCACCUUCGCGCACCCUCGCCUCACCAAACACCCACGGCGCAUUGGCGCUUCCACCUCUUAUCGUACGAAGGCGAGCGGCUUUCACGGUGUCUCUCUGUCGCAUGCAAUGGCACCGCUGUUUGAGGGGCGCCCAACAGCUGCCUGCCCACGGCAUGCUCAGGGGCGCUGGGGUCCCUUGCCGCUGUCCCUGAAGUCUAGCCUGGGUUGUUGAUCUUGCCGCAGAUGCGGUACUCCAUUACUUCUCCGCCCGCGCCAUCAUUUCGGCCACACCUCAGUCUGUUGGUCGGUCGCAGAUCCCUUGCCCCGUCGAGCUUAAUAUGCAAUCCGUUGCUUGUGAAGAUUGUCGUGUUUUGGACAAUGCCAACCUUUGUUUCCGCUGUGCCUGCCAAGGUUGUGGCUUCCUUGGGUGAUGCUUAUUUGAGAACAUAGCUGUUGUGCUCUGAGCAUGUCCUGUGUGCCUGUCAUGGCGGCUUCUUUUGGCGACAUCAUACCAACAUAUUCAAUGUCAGGCUUUAAAGGAGUGAGCUGGUUUCUAUAUUUUAACUGAUGCACCUUGAUGCUUUAUUGAGCGGUGUCUAUGAAAUGAUUUGGAUGGAAGGUAAAUUUCCCACCAAUUUAAUUUUAGAUAUUUUAAAUAAUUCCUUGCCAUAUCUGCAUUCAGCCUGUUAUUGUGUUUAUGUUCACCCUUUUUUAGUAGGGAAAUCAAAACAUAGUUAAUCCAGUACUACUGGGUUUUAUUAUGCCUGAUUUUGUUUCUGCUUUUGAGUCUAUCAUGAUUAUAGGGCUGUUAAUGACACAUGACAUUGUCAAUUGGAAAUACCAUGUCAACGGACUGAUUAAGAAAUACAAAAUCUUUGCUUAGAUGGGACAUAUUUGGAAAAUACCCCUUAUAUUAAAAAACACAUGGUGUGUCAAGCAUUUUUUUUACAAACUGUAGCAAACUGAAAACUAGUUGCAUUGGUCAUGCGGAAAUGUCUCAUCUAUCUCAUGUAUGUUGCUUAUAUUUUGUCUCUUGAAGAUCACAAGCGAAUGCACUUUUCUCUUGUCUCUCUUGUUUGUUGUUUCUCUCCAGAUGAGCUGUCCUAUUCUUGUUGCAUUUUGUCCGCAACUCCUAUCACCCCUAUCUUAAUCCUUCCUGUAGGAUGGUAGGUGUACUGAAACAGAUGAUGACAAACUUUCUGAAUUGCAUGAAAGUGAACCAGGAUAUGCUAAUUGGAUUUUCCAAAAGAUUGGAUCUUUUGAGUGGAAUAUCACAAAUUCUCUUACUACAAAAAAUAGGUCCCACUGGGACUCGAACCCAGGUUGCCAGAUUCAAAGUCUGGAGUGAUAACCACUACACCAUGGAACCAUUUAUGUGUGUUCUCCCUAGAUAAUAUAUUUAUGGUAACAUGUUUCCAUAGCAUUAUUUUGUUUUUUUGUGUGCUUUUGCUAGCCAUUCCAAAAAAUCAUGUUAGGAGUGAGCUAGUGUCACACCUGGUUUUGGAAAAAGUAACCUAGUGCAUACCAUAUACGUGCCAAGGUCAAAUUUCACGUACACAGUCACAUAAGUGAAUUACAUAGCAUAACGCUCGAAAUACACAUAAACGUAACUGUUAUAUUACAGACUCAGUCUUCACCAUAACAGUUAAACUCAUACUAUAUUUUUUUGACAUAGUAAAUAACUAAGUGACAAUGGAAAGCGAUAGAUGACAUCCAUGGGCAAAUAACUGAAGACAACACCAACGUAGAACUUAUCAUAGUUUUGGAACUUCUGCGGGUACUCCUUUGGAACAUCAUGACUUGAGAAACGGUUGCAUCUCAGCAAGUGUCCCAUUUAGGUUAAAGUGGAUUGACCAUUUAGGUUAAAGUGGAUUGACUCAUACAUUUCCAAUAUGUGUUGCUGCCUGCUGUCCCUUCAUGUUUGUGAUUUCAAAAGGCUAUCCUAUGCUGCUGAUCAGUACUUAAUGGAUGGGAGAAGGGUCAGACCUCAGAUAAGUACCUAACUUGCUAUUUCCUAUUUUUUUAUCACUUUUAUUGAUGCCCAAUUGCAUCUAAAGUGUUGUCCACUUCUAUUGCAGCAGUGCUUGAGGAUUCAGUGAUCAGCAGAUCUGCAAGGACAAAAGGACCAAAGGAGUGAGCUGGUUUUUAUAUUUUAACUGAUGCACCUGGAUGCUUUAUUGAGCGGUGUCUAUGAAAUGAGUUGGAUGGAAGAUUGGAGAAACGCCCAUGGGCCUGGCAAACUGUGGCAUGUGGCUUUGAACUUUGCCAAUUGGAGACCUGAUGUGGAUCAUUUUGGGACGCGAGUUAAGCCCCCUGUUUGGAGUGCCAGAAACAAAACAGAUGGAGAAGGGAAAAAGGUGUCAGGGGAUAAGAGCCAGCGCCUGAUCACCGUUUUAUUCGUUUUUGAGUAAACUGUAGCGAGCAACAGGUAGCCUAUAAUUGAGACAAUGCUGAAUGGAUUGUAGAAAAGGAUCUGCUUUAAUUUCCGUUAAUUUAGCGCCUUCAGUGAUGUUCC